CGGAGGGUGCAAGCGUUAUCCGGAUUUACUGGGUUUAAAGGGAGCGCAGGCGGACUGGUAAGUCAGUGGUGAAAGCCUUGAGCUUAACUCGAGAACUGCCAUUGAUACUAUCAGUCUUGAAUGUUGUUGAGGUUUGCGGAAUGGGUCAUGUAGCGGUGAAAUGCAUAGAUAUGACCCGGAACACCUAUUGCGAAGGCAGCAGGCUAAACAAAUAUUGACGCUGAGGCUCGAAAGCGUGGGGAUCAAACAGGAUUAGAUACCCUGGUAGUCCACGCCCUAAACUAUGAUUACUCGACAUACGUGAUAUGACAAUGUGUGUCUGAGCGAAAGCAUUAAGUAAUCCACCUGGGAAGUACGACCGCAAGGUUG
rnacentral:rRNA from 1 species